rnacentral:lncRNA from 1 species
CCCUGAAUGACCGCAUGGAGCAGAGUCUUUCUGCCGACUGGAAUUACCACUCCACAUUCCUGUGAGAGAGAAACAAGUGUUUUCCUCAUGAGAUUCUUGAGUUUUGGAUGUUUCUGUGCCAACACAGCUAACCCUGGCCCAACAUACAAGAUUCAGUGCCUGCGUCAUAGAAGGGUCCGUGUCAGUAAGGAAGUGAAAAGCAAGAUGGAAUACUGGAACUCUCCUGGCAGAUUGUCUGAAGUCAAUGUGUUUUCUGGUUAUGUGUUUCAGCUGCGAGUUUUUCAAAUUGUUGCAAAUCUUCAAACAUUUUUCCAACAAAUUUACUGAAAAAAAUCCACAUAUAAGUGGCACCCCCACCAGUUUAAACCUGUGUUGUUCAAGAGUCAGCUAUUUUUAUGAGGUGUUUUCAAAAGUUUAUGGAAAAUGAAUCUUAUGAAUAAAACUAUGCAUGGA